rnacentral:misc_RNA from 1 species
AAAACUUGUUUUCUUUGGUUGUAGGGUAAGAGAAUCUAACUGAAAAGCAACUUUAGUCACUUCUCCUUCCCUAUUGUUUUAGCGACCCAAUGCACUAGUUUUGGGUUUGUUGUGGUUUCUCAAUUCUAUUACUCUACCUGUGACGGAUUUGUUUGAUUUUCUAUCUGCUAUCUGCUAGAAUUAGACGGCAUUGAUAUAUAAGCUCCUUUAAAUCAUCUAAAUUCAAUUGCAAUUUUGAUUUUCACCAUGGUUUGUGUUUGAGGAUGUCAUUUGCUGACUUUAGCCCAUUAACAUUAUUGUAUACUUGUACAUAUUUCCCUUAAUUGGGUAAUUAAUUAGUCAUCUACUGCGUUCAUUAAUCAUUAUAUUUUUUUUUUAAAAAGAAUCUUGUUGUGAGCAUUUUGCAAGAAUAUUAUUCAAUUCAUUGAUCUUUAUGUUACAAAUCUUUUGUAUGCAAUGAACUAGUUUUGCAUUUUCAUUUGUUGUCAAGGUCUUGAUAUCUGCAUUUUGUGACCAUUCCUGCUUCACAUGCUGUAUUAUGUUAGCUGUUAUAUUG